rnacentral:rRNA from 1 species
UAAGUCUGAUGUGAAAGCCCUCGGCUUAACCGAGGAACUGCAUCGGAAACUGUUUUUCUUGAGUGCAGAAGAGGAGAGUGGAACUCCAUGUGUAGCGGUGGAAUGCGUAGAUAUAUGGAAGAACACCAGUGGCGAAGGCGGCUCUCUGGUCUGCAACUGACGCUGAGGCUCGAAAGCAUGGGUAGCGAACAGGAUUAGAUACCCUGGUAGUCCAUGCCGUAAACGAUGAGUGCUAAGUGUUGGGAGGUUUCCGCCUCUCAGUGCUGCAGCUAACGCAUUAAGCACUCCGCCUGGGGAGUACGACCGCAAGGUUGAAACUCAAAGGAAUUGACGGGGGCCCGCACAAGCGGUGGAGCAUGUGGUUUAAUUCGAAGCAACGCGAAGAACCUUACCAGGUCUUGACAUCUAGUGCCAUCCUAAGAGAUUAGGAGUUCCCUUCGGGG